rnacentral:rRNA from 1 species
UUGGAGGGCAAGUUGGUGCCAGCAGCCGCGGUAAUUCCAGCUCCAAUAGCGUAUAUUAAAGUUGUUGUGGUUAAAAAGCUCGUAGUUGAACCUUGGGCCUGGCUGGCCGGUCCGCCUCACCGCGUGCACUGGUCCGGCCGGGCCUUUCCCUCUGCGGAACCCCAUGCCCUUCACUGGGUGUGGCGGGGAAACAGGACUUUUACUUUGAAAAAAUUAGAGUGCUCAAGGCAGGCCUAUGCUCGAAUACAUUAGCAUGGAAUAAUAGAAUAGGACGUGUGG